GAUGAACGCUGGCGGCGUGCCUAAUACAUGCAAGUCGAACGCUUCACUUCGGUGAAGAGUGGCGAACGGGUGAGUAAUACAUAAGUAACCUGGCAUCUACAGGGGGAUAACUGAUGGAAACGUCAGCUAAGACCGCAUAGGUGUAGAGAUCGCAUGAACUCUAUAUGAAAAGUGCUACGGGACUGGUAGAUGAUGGACUUAUGGCGCAUUAGCUGGUUGGUAGGGUAACGGCCUACCAAGGCGACGAUGCGUAGCCGACCUGAGAGGGUGACCGGCCACACUGGGACUGAGACACGGCCCAGACUCCUACGGGAGGCAGCAGUAGGGAAUUUUCGGCAAUGGGGGAAACCCUGACCGAGCAACGCCGCGUGAAGGAAGAAGUAAUUCGUUAUGUAAACUUCUGUCAUAGAGGAAGAACGGUGGAUAUAGGGAAUGAUAUCCAAGUGACGGUACUCUAUAAGAAAG
rnacentral:rRNA from 1 species